rnacentral:rRNA from 1 species
CCUACGGGGGGCAGCAGUGGGGAAUAUUGGGCAAUGGACGCAAGUCUGAACCAGCAAUGCCGCGUGAAGGAAGAAGGCCCUCGGGUUUUAAACUUCUUUUUACAGGGAGGAAGAAAGUGACGGUACCUGCUGACUAAGCCACUGCUAACUACGUGCCACCAGCCGCGGCAAUACGUAGGUGGCAAUAGUUAUGCGGAUUUAAUGGGUGUAAGGGUCGUGUAGGCGGGAGGGCAAGUCAGACGUGAAAUCCCGGGGCUCAACCCUGGAACUGCGUUUGACACUGUUCUUCUUGAGUGAUGGAGCGGCAGGCGGAAUGUCGGGUGUAGCGGUGAAAUGCUUAGAGAUCACGCAGAACUCCGAUUGCGAAGGCAGCUUACUAAACUGCCACUGACAUUGAUGCACGAAAGUGUGGGUAUCAAACAGGAUUAGAUACCCGAGUAGUC